GACGAACGCUGGCGGCGUGCUUAACACAUGCAAGUCGAACGGAAAGGCCCUGCUUUUGUGGGGUGCUCGAGUGGCGAACGGGUGAGUAACACGUGAGUAACCUGCCCUUGACUUUGGGAUAACUUCAGGAAACUGGGGCUAAUACCGGAUAGGAGCUCCUGCUGCAUGGUGGGGGUUGGAAAGUUUCGGCGGUUGGGGAUGGACUCGCGGCUUAUCAGCUUGUUGGUGGGGUAGUGGCUUACCAAGGCUUUGACGGGUAGCCGGCCUGAGAGGGUGACCGGCCACAUUGGGACUGAGAUACGGCCCAGACUCCUACGGGAGGCAGCAGUGGGGAAUAUUGCACAAUGGGCGGAAGCCUGAUGCAGCAACGCCGCGUGCGGGAUGACGGCCUUCGGGUUGUAAACCGCUUUCGCCUGUGACGAAGCGUGAGUGACGGUAAUGGGUAAAGAAGCACCGGCUAACUACGUGUCAGCAGCCGCGGUGAUACGUAGGGUGCGAGCGUUGUCCGGAUUUAUUGGGCGUAAAGGGCUCGUAGGUGGUUGAUCGCGUCGGAAGUGUAAUCUUGGGGCUUAACCCUGAGCGUGCUUUCGAUACGGGUUGACUUGAGGAAGGUAGGGGAGAAUGGAAUUCCUGGUGGAGCGGUGGAAUGCGCAGAUAUCAGGAGGAACACCAGUGGCGAAGGCGGUUCUCUGGGCCUUUCCUGACGCUGAGGAGCGAAAGCGUGGGGAGCGAACAGGCUUAGAUACCCUGGUAGUCCACGCUGUAAACGGUGGGUACUAGGUGUGGGGUCCAUUCCACGGGUUCCGUGCCGUAGCUAACGCUUUAAGUACCCCGCCUGGGGAGUACGGCCGCAAGGCUAAAACUCAAAGGAAUUGACGGGGCCCCGCACAAGCGGCGGAGCAUGCGGAUUAAUUCGAUGCAACGCGUAGAACCUUACCUGGGUUUGACAUGGAUCGGGAGUGCUCAGAGAUGGGUGUGCCUCUUUUGGGGUCGGUUCACAGGUGGUGCAUGGCUGUCGUCAGCUCGUGUCGUGAGAUGUUGGGUUAAGUCCCGCAACGAGCGCAACCCUUGUUCACUGUUGCCAGCACGUUAUGGUGGGGACUCAGUGGAGACCGCCGGGGUCAACUCGGAGGAAGGUGGGGAUGACGUCAAGUCAUCAUGCCCCUUAUGUCCAGGGCUUCACGCAUGCUACAAUGGCUGGUACAGAGAGUGGCGAGCCUGUGAGGGUGAGCGAAUCUCGGAAAGCCGGUCUCAGUUCGGAUUGGGGUCUGCAACUCGACCUCAUGAAGUCGGAGUCGCUAGUAAUCGCAGAUCAGCAACGCUGCGGUGAAUAAAGUUCCCGGGGCU
rnacentral:rRNA from 1 species